rnacentral:rRNA from 1 species
CAGCGCCACGAGUGGGAAUCGUGUUUAUUUGGCCUAAAGCGUCCGUAGCCGGUUUAGUAAAUCUUUUGUGAAAUCUUCAGGCUUAACUUGAAGGCGUGCAGAAGACACUGCUGAACUUGGAACCGGGAGGAGUCAGAAGUAUGGGAUGGGGAGCGGUAAAAUGCGAUAAUCCAUCUUAGACUACCUGUGGCGAAGGCGUCUGACUAGAAAGGAUUCGACGGUGAGGGACGAAAGCUAGGGGAGCGAUCCGGAUUAGAUACCCGAGUAGUCC